rnacentral:piRNA from 1 species
UUAUAAUUUAUAAUAAAUUUAACAUGAC